UGGGGAAUCUUGCGCAAUGGCCUAACGGCUGACGCAGCGACGCCGCGUGUGGGAGGACGCCUUUCGGGGUGUAAACCACUGUUGCCCGGGACGAACGACCUGUUUCGACAGGUGUGACGGUACCGGGUGAGGAAGCACCGGCUAACUCCGUGCCAGCAGCCGCGGUAAUACGGAGGGUGCGAGCGUUGUCCGGAAUCAUUGGGCGUAAAGGGCGCGUAGGUGGCCCGGUCAGUCCGUGGGUGAAAGCGCGGGGCUCAACCCUGCGUCGGCCAUGGAUACUGCUGCGGCUUGAGCACUGUAGAGGCAGGCGGAAUUCCGGGUGUAGCGGUGGAAUGCGUAGAGAUCCGGAAGAACACCGGUGGCGAAGGCGGCCUGCUGGGCAGUUUGGCUGACACUGAGGCGCGACAGCGUGGGGAGCAAACAGGAUUAGAUACCCUGGUAGUCCACGCCGUAAACGAUGGGCACUAGGCGCUUGGGGGAGCGACCCUCCGAGGGCCGGCGCUAACGCAUUAAGUG
rnacentral:rRNA from 1 species